CACAGUAGCUUGUCAAGGGGAAGGUGACACGGCUGCUCCCUGAAGCUGGAUCGUUUCCUGCCUUUCCUCCUCUUCCUAAGCCACACCUACAAAGAUUCCAGGUUGGUCAGUCUGAGAUUGAUCCACAAAAAGGCCACUCUUCCUAUUUUUAUGCUCACUGGCAUCCUGAUACACUGCAAGGCCUGGAUAAUUCUUCAUGGAGAAGCACAUGGGUAUAUUUCUAUCAGCAAUGAGCCAUCUCUUAAAACAUCAUUUAUCUGAGUUUUACACAUCCUGACUCAAAAGGGUGAGUACAUAGUAGUGGGGGAUGGAGUGGCAGGAAAUAAUUAAUUAUACAUUGAGUGAUUGGCAUCAUUCCUAUAACAACAGUAUACAGGCAUUAUCUCUCUAAUAUGGUCCUAAAAAUUAACCAACUUACCUUCCCAGGAUUACCUGAUAGUGACCCAUUUCCA
ensembl:lncRNA